UGGGGAAUAUUGCACAAUGGGCGCAAGCCUGAUGCAGCCAUGCCGCGUGUAUGAAGAAGGCCUUCGGGUUGUAAAGUACUUUCAGCGGGGAGGAAGGGAGUAAAGUUAAUACCUUUGCUCAUUGACGUUACCCGCAGAAGAAGCACCGGCUAACUCCGUGCCAGCAGCCGCGGUAAUACGGAGGGUGCAAGCGUUAAUCGGAAUUACUGGGCGUAAAGCGCACGCAGGCGGUUUGUUAAGUCAGAUGUGAAAUCCCCGGGCUUAACCCGGGAAUUGCAUCUGAUACUGGUCAGCUAGAGUCUUGUAGAGGGGGGUAGAAUUCCAUGUGUAGCGGUGAAAUGCGUAGAGAUGUGGAGGAAUACCGGUGGCGAAGGCGGCCCCCUGGACAAAAACUGACGCUCAGGUGCGAAAGCGUGGGGAGCAAACAGG
rnacentral:rRNA from 1 species